rnacentral:tRNA from 1 species
UGGGUUGGCCGAGUGGUUAAGGGCGUUGGACUUAAGUUCCAAUGGACAAGUGUCCGCGUGGGUUCGGACCCCACACACCCAG